rnacentral:misc_RNA from 1 species
CGGCGAGCAUGGGUUGCUGAAGACCUGUUCUACCCCGGAUCUUCACGGGUCUGUUUCUGUUAGCAUAUACACGCCCGCGUAUACACGUAAUUAAAUGUCCCGAUUGGUAAUUGCUUUGAAUAUUACCUGCUUCCAAGUACUAUCCACUUUUCGUUUGAUAGAGGGAUGCCAUACCUCCGCAAAUCACUGCAGACACUAUGCUAACCAACAUAACUGCCCAUGUGACCACUCCUGGCACUGCAUCGACAGCAGUUGCCAGUGCGGGUAUCCCGGCAGCUAAAGGUAGACAUCUGGAUUCAGUACACGUGGUCCUCAGAGUGAUGGCGAUGUUUCACGUUCUUGGAGACAUCAUUCAUAAACUCAGUUCCACUACCUCUUGUCCUUUUAAUUCAUUUAAGUAACAAUAAUUAAAUUUUCGUUGUGUUCAUCGAAAUUCCUGCAUUCUGAUUGGCGGAAUUGGUCACGUGUUUUUGCAUUCAUUUAAUGAUUCAUACAGUUUCCACAUCGGUUUUUCGAUUCAUACCUAAAAAACCCGAACCAAAUACACAGUCAGUCCUAAAUACAACCCUGAUGGAUAAGAUAUAGCUCGUGACGGAUGUUACCCGCCUUACUCGACCUCGUAUUUCAUCUGAAGGCCGCCGUGAUAUUGCUGGAAUAUUGCUAAAAGCUGCGUAAAACCCAUCACUCACUCACUCAUUUGAAGGAUCGACCAUUUAAUUUUCAUACGUUAGGGGUGGUGGGGAAUUAAAGCCAUUCGCACAAUUAAAAUUCAUCACACACCAAUCUAACUGCAGUUAAGAAGAGUUUAUUAAUUCCACACUAAGAAUAAUUCAUUACCCGCAAUACUGGCUUACAUAAUAAUAACAAAGGGCAUCCUAGCAAUAAUGUCGGCAAAACAAUGGAAUUAUUAAAACACAAAGUCAUAGUCACCAGGGGUAUGAUUCUUAAAAAAGAGCAGCAAGAUACAUAUGGUUACUACCGGGGCCAUACAACUAUAUAUCCUUCAUAUAGCAUUAUGACCCCGGUAGUGACCACAUACAUGUAUAUCUUGCUGCCCAUUAUAAAGUUACAAGCCCAUCUGGUUUAACCUGCAUUAUAACCCUACGACAGGUUUAUUCUCUUGUUGGUUGUCUCUUCAAAACGUGUCAAACCCACUUUGUAGGUUUUCCCUCCUGAAGACCCUGGGACAUGGGUUUGCCAUUGAUACUUUUGUGGUGUUUCUUCAGAAUGUACCUCGUUGGAAAUAUACAAUGUAUUUAGGAGAUAAAUAUUCGUUUUGUAAGAUUUGCGUGAUGUUAUGCUGAAUGGAUGUACGGAAAUUUCAUUUGAACAAGACGCCGUAAUGGAUGUACGGAAAUUUCAUUUGAACACGACGCCGUAAGGUGGAAUGUUCAAAUGAAAAACUUCCGUACACCCAUUCAGCAUAACAUCACGCAAAUCUUACAAAACGAAAUAUUUAUCGACAUUAUAACAUGAACGUUAAUUAAAUCGAUAUUUAGGAGGAACUAAUUUACUGAGCGCAUGACACAACAAAACUGUCGUUAGCAAUACGUCUCCUCGUGCUCACCUUCGAAAGGAUGCAUGAUAUGGGGUGCCGCGAAACCGAUGAAUGGUUUCGAGGUACUCCAAUAAUGAUGGUUCAUUUUACGAAAGGGGUGGCCACAUGUUCAAGCCCAUUUCUCAGAAAAUAAACAAACAACAGGAAAUAUCACAAAUUCAAUUCUUUAUCACAGUUCCUCAUCUUACUUGUAAUUUGUAGUUAUGCGUAUCUAUAAAAUACAAAUAAUCAAAAUUAGAAAAGACGUUCAUACUGUUUUGCCCCUAUACAAGACAGUGUCAACUCGCUGAGGUAGUGACAAGAGAGGUCAAACAUGUGCGAGAUUUUAGAUAUGCAGCUUAGCUGGGAUGGAAAAAGUUGUUUACUGUCACAGUGGAAUUACAUAUGUGAAAGAGACCAUGGGAAUUAGCAGAAGAAUUAACCUAGAAGUUAUUCACGGGAGCAGUGGACAGUGGCAGGAUAUUUGUAUCUUGGACAGGUACCAAAUUACGGUUGUUAGUGAGCUGCUGCUGUCCCUGAAGAAUGUUCAAAUAAUGUCGUUUUUGAGCCGAGCUCGAGUCAAUGGAAUACGACUUCAACGAUUUAUCGGUUUUGUGGCCGGUAAUUUUGCAAAUCUCGCGAUUUUCAAUGCCUGCGUUUGACAGCAAAGUAACAGCAGUUGCCCGAAGACAAUGGUUUGUAUGUGCACUUUGAGACCAGCGUUGGUAGAAAUUUCUUUCAUCAUGUUGCCAAUGACAUUUACACCAACUGGCCUCGUGGUGUACCAUUCGGUGUCGUCGACGUGGACUCGUCUCUUGGGAGCCUGGUAAAAAACACCAUUGUUGGGAUUGAGGAGAGACAUGUAUUUUUUGAAUGAAAGUACGGGACAGAAUUGGUCCGAUGUUGCAUAAAUGCGUUUGUUGGGCCCAUUUGAGUCGAGUGUAAGGUCGAACCACACUUUACGAAGCAAGCCGGAAGGAGUUUCCGUAUCCAAACUUUCACGGAUUUUUAAAAAGUCAUUCUCGGGGAUAGCAGCAUGAUGUGUUGUCUGGUCAAGGCCAUCGCGCUUAAGUUUUUUUAUCAUGAACAGAAAAACAUUGUUUGCAGUGUGAAAUUCCCGGUCUUGGAUAAUGUUUAUGCUGCCCUCAAAUGGCGGUCCCCUGAUGUGCCUGUGUAUGGCAGCACGCAACCCAACAAAACUCGAUUUUGAGUAAAGAUCUCCCUCAGCAUUUCUGACUUCGGCAUAAAAGAACCUCAGUCUCUCAUUCAGUUGAGAAGCAGGAAGCUCUUCGAACUUGGGUUCAUGGCAAUGGUGUAAGGGAGGUAACUCUCGUUGAUCGAAUCUGUGUAGGAAUUUUAGGUAUGUGUUUAUGUAUUCUUUAAUGUUUCAAUGGCUUACGUCGAAAUAUUUUAACUCCCCAGGAGGUAUUACGCCAAGUAGAUUUGGAGAGGUUCCCAUCCACGAUGUCCUGUACUGCAUUUGCAUCAAGGGACGCGAAGCGGUCACUGGACGCUUGAACUUUGGGCUCUAAGGAAACGCUGGCUGUAUUUCCUAGUUCAGGGGCCAUCUCAGAACGGUUUUCAGCUUCAACAGCUGUUAUACGGACGGUGGCGAUCCCAUGGUGUCGUAUGCUGUGUCGUAAGCGGUGACUAUGUGGAUUGGGUGGUCACGAUGCCCCUGUAUCCUGGCGGCUUGGGACGUUGUUCAUAAUAUUAAUCAUUGGUUUUGUCCAUCCAUCUUUGGAAUCGAAACGUGAUUUUCCGUGUGCCGAGAGAACGCUAAUACUACUCUUAAAAAAACGUACACGGUGACCCAACGAUGUGCGUCGGUGAUACAUUACAGUGCACAUGUUAUAUAACAUGAGGUCAUAGCAUAGUCCAUCUGCUCAGGUGUCAACGACUGAUACAAUCAAGGAUUAUUCACUAAUGUGAAUCACACACCACACACAACAUACCCUUUACACGAGCAAACUUAAAAUAUUUUUUUAUCUUUUUCUUUAAAUACCACAAUCUGAUCUGGUAUGAUAAGACGUCAGAGGGUCGCCAGGGACAUGCCACGGUGACGUCAGCUGACAUAGCGGAGUUUGAUCUCAACAGUGAGUGAGUGAGUGAGUUGGGUUUAACGCUGCUUUUAACAGUAUUCCAGUUAUAUCGCGGUGUGUCAGCUUAAUGUCGGAGGAAAGCCCGAAGUGAUAUGCAGGUCUCAGAC